GCUGAAGGUGGCACUGAACCAAAUGCAUCCAUCUGUCAUCUCAGAAGCGAAGCAGUCCUGGGCCUGACUAGUGCUUGGUGGGGAGACCACCCGAGAAUCCUCAGUGCUGUCAGCA
ensembl:rRNA 5S_rRNA 5S ribosomal RNA